CACGGGGGGAGCAAGCGUUGUUCGGAAUCACUGGGCGUAAAGGGCGUCUAGGCGGUCGGGUAAGUGAGAUGUGAAAUGCCUCGGCUCACCCGAGGACCUGCAUCUCAGACUGCUCGACUUGAGUACGGGAGAGGGUGGAGGAAUUCCUGGUGUAGCGGUGAAAUGCGUAGAUAUCAGGAGGAACACCGGUGGCGAAAGCGUCCACCUGGCCCGAUACUGACGCUGAAGCGCGAAAGCUAGGGGAG
rnacentral:rRNA from 1 species